GUUACGGCGAUAGGGGGCAGCCGUGCUCCAGGGGGGCGUACCCCACGCAGAGGGAUAAAAGCGGUGAUCCGCUGGAUAAGACCCCUUUUCGUUGUGCGGUUUUGCUGGGUGCAAGCUGUCUGAACGUGAAAUAAACCUGAUGCAACGACGUCCGCAGCAUCCCGCCCGCCGUGCACCUGCCCGCUCCCGUUCCCGCGGAAGCCGCCCGGAUCCGGAUCCACCCCAGCACCACUCCGUGGCCACUGGGACAGUUGUGUCCCACGGACAGCCGGUUUCCUGGGCAUCCCGCACACGGUGGGCUCACCAGCCAAGGCCCCUCCGGGGGGACGACCCCACACAGACUCCGGCUCCGUUUCGCGGUCUGACGCUCACCGACCGCCACCCGGCCGAUCCCCUACAGCCCCUCACUGCGGAGGAGAAGCGGAUCCUAUGCCCGCUCUGCUUGGUCCCCGAACUGCACCGUCCGACACACCGCCGGGGCCCACUUCACCAGGCCCGAACGGAGGCCGCCCGGACAGCCAACGACGUGACAACAGCCCUCUCCACCCUCAGGCGGCUCAGACCCGAACUUCUGGUGGAGACCAGGCCUCCCCCUCCUCCGCCGCCUGCCCCCUCUUCAGCCAUGGACGACGCCGUACUAGACCUGUCGGACGACCUCAUGACCCUGUAAGGGAGGGGGGGUGUGGCGAUAAGAGAGCGCCACGGGUUACGGCGAUAGGGGGCAGCCGUGCUCCAGGGGGGCGUACCCCACGCAGAGGGAUAAAAGCGGUGAUCCGCUGGAUAAGACCCCUUUUCGUUGUGCGGUUUUGCUGGGUGCAAGCUGUCUGAACGUGAAAUAAACCUGGUAUGUCUGUUUGAA